rnacentral:lncRNA from 1 species
AUUACCAUUAGCAGUUGAAGUGGUAGGAAAUUUUUACAUAGGAGAGUAUGGUGAUCAUAUUUGCAUUUUAGAAAAUAAUGGAUAGCAGUUUGUUAGGGGAACAAAGGACAGAGACAGGGAGACUAUUUAAAACAUUAAUAAAAAAUACCAGUGACAGAUGAUGAGGCACCUACCUGAUGGGAAUGGAGAAGAGGAGAUGGAUUCAGAAACUACUUAGGAGAGGCAGGCAGUCCAAGGCUGAUGCCCAAAGAAGCCAUCAAGACCCGUGCUACUUCCAGCUCCUUCUGUCCUCAUAAUCAUAGAUGAUUGCUCCACAUCCAGCACCUAACACCAGUACUCAGUUAAAUUUUUUGCUGAAUAAAUCAAUGAAUGGAGAGGUAAAGAGGAACCAGAAGUUGGGGUUACAGAAGUCACUGAUGGAAGAGUUUCAAGAUAGUAGAAGUGGUCAGCCCUGUUAAGUGACAAGCCAAGGACUGAAGAAAGACUGGCAGAUUUGGCAAUCAGAUGAAGUGACCUGACCAAAGAGCAGCUUGUGUGAAGUAGUGAGGACAGGCGCUGGUCUGCGACUGGUUUAGGAGGAAAUGGAAAUGAAGAAGAAGAGAUAGGAAAGUGGAGAUUAUAUGAUGACAAGUAUCAAGAUAAAAAUGAACACAUUUGGCCUGCUACCUGAAUUUUUUAAAUCGGCUCACCAAAAAAUAUCAGGCUUAUUGAAAUAUUGGAAUAUCUGAUGAAGUUUCCUCUUAUCUUUGAGCUGUUUGGGUUUGGGUAAAAUUUCAAUGCUUAAAAUUCACGUCUACAACUAGCAGGCAGAACCUUAAAGUCCAGAACCAUUAAAGGGUUUAAUAAUGGUGAGGCAUAUGAUGAUGCUGAUGAUGAUAAUGUUUCUUUCUUUCUUUUGUGAUCUUAAUCACUGUGUGAUCUUAACUAGUUUGAAAUGAGAAUUUCAAUGGAGACAGUAGUGUAAAUUUACCAACAGAACAAUUACAGUCGUGACAAAACAAAAACUAUACAAGCAUAUUUUUGUUCAUUCUAUAAAUUUGUACUGAGUACUUUAUAUACACUAGGCAUUCUGACAGAUAUAAUUAUGUGGGUAUAAAAUUUAGUUUAUUUGAUAGUUGCUUUCCCCACCGCCUCCAGAAAUUCUUGAUUUAGUUGGUAAAGAAAAUCAGUUAAGCAAAUAAGUUCACUAUUUGUAGAAGUGUAGAUGGGUUAUGGUGGGGGCACAAAAUAAUAAAAUAAUGUAUUUAAAACUAUUUUCACAUCUGUGAAAAGCUCUAUACAUCUGUGGCAUUAAGACUAAAGAGAAUGGUAUCAAGUCAUAGCUGCUUUCUAGAAAACAUGCAUGAGACAUUUAGGACCUCUGCAUAUUACCACUGAGUUGUUUUUCUUUUAAGGGGCUACAAAGGAGUAUGUUCAGCAUGAUCUUAUUUUUAUUAAAAUUAUACUUUCUAUACAGAAAAAGACUAUAAAAAUACACACUUAAAACAUUAGCAGUGACCCACAGCUAGUAUCAUACUGAAUGGGGAAUAACUAAAAGCCUUUUCUCCAUGAUCUAGAACACAACAAAAAUGCCCAUUUUUACCACUAUUAUUCAACUUAGUACUGGAAGUUCUAGCUAGGGCAAUCAGACACGAGAAUGA